rnacentral:rRNA from 2 species
UUACCGUAGGUGAACCUAUGGUAGGAUCAUU